UAACCAACAAGAUUUCUUUUUAGCAAUUAUUAACCUUUUUUAUUAACAACUUCACUGAGUUAUAAUUCUCAUAAUAUGCUACACAAUUCACCCAUUUAAGGUGAGAGAUGCAAUGGUUUUUAGCAUACUCACAGAUGUAGGCAACCACCACCUCUGCAACUUUAGGACAAUGUUAUCACCACAAAAGGAAAUCCUGUAUCAUUUAGCACCUCCUCACCCCUAAUUCCCUUAAUCCUAAAUGACUGUUAUCUAUUUCAGUGAUCUACUUAUGUUUCUAUAGAUUUGCAUCUUCUGGAUAUUUCAUAUAAAUGGAGUCAUAUAGCCUGCUGUUUGUUGUAUCCGGCUUCUUUCCCUUAUGAAAUUAUGAAAAUAUAAUAUUUUAAGAUUCACCAUGUGGUGGCUUAUAUCAGAGUUUCAGUCAUUCCUUUUAAAUUAGAAUAAUAUUUCAUUGUAUAGUGUUAACUCCUUUUAUUUUUCUGUUCAUCAGUUCAUAACCAUUUAGGUUGUUUCCAUCUUUUAGUUAUUUUGAAUAAUGCUUUUGAAAACAUUCAGGCACAGGUUUAAGUUUGAGCACCUGUUUGUAAUUCUUUUGGGUGGAUACCUAAGAGUGGAAUUGCAGAGUCAUAAGAAGAAUAGUCAAACUGAUUUCCACAUCUCUUAACUCUUACUCCAAAAACGUAAUUUUAGAAAAUUGGAUAACAUUUCACACUCCAAAAUAAGGCAUCCCUGCUCAGUUUGAUUAAGUACACUGCUCAAGUCUCAAAGGCAUGUAAUACAGACAUGCAUUCAUUUGGAAUUAUUAUGCAUUUAUGCCAUCUUCUCAUCUGUUUUCUUUGUUAAAGGGUUUAUAGGGUGACCUUAACCAAAACAUUGUCUAGAAGCUUGUAUCUAAGGACAAAUAUAUUCUGUGUUAAAAUUAGUGUUUUAGGAGUUCCUGCUACAUUACAGUGGGUUAAUAAUCCAGCUUGUCUCUGUGGAGGCACCAGUUUGAUUCUCAGCCCAGGACAGUGGGGCAGUGGGUUAAGGAUCUGGCAUUGCUGCAGUCGUGGCAUAGGUCACAGCUCUGGCUUGGAUUCAAACCCUAGCCUGGGAACUUCCACAUGCCAUGGGGGCAGCUGAAAAAGAAAAAAAUAGACAGAUAAAAUAAAAUUAGUGUCCUAGGAAAACGCAUCUUUCUGGUUGCCCACAGCACCUGGAUCCCCUGAUGAGGAAGGCUUACCCUCCCUGUCUCAUCCAGUAGCUUCAAAGGGCAUUUAACAUACAACAAGGGACUCUACCAAUCCUGGAACUGCAAGGCUAAGUAGAAGGGACACUUCUCGAUUUUUUUUUCCUCAGUCUAAUAGGCUCCAGCUACCCAUCAAGCAAGUAUGUGGAAGUUUGUGCACACACAUCAGAUUCUGGAGGGAUUUCCAUUUCUCUUUCCUCCCCCUCUUGCAUGGAUCACAAAUCUUGCACAUAUCUAAGACUUCAUCAGGCCAAGUGUUCAAUAGUCAAAGAGCAUCUUGACUCAAGCUGAAUUCCUUGGCUUGAGAUUAUUCUAAUGGGGAAAUUGGCCAAGCACAAAUGACCAAGUAAGGUCUCCAGCCAAAGCAACUCACAGCAGUGCAGGCCUUGAGACAUCACAGGAGUGACAAAGGAGCUCAAGGCCAAGGACAGAAGUAUAGUGAAAUCGUAAAUAAAGGAGUUCCCGUCGUGACCCAGUGAUUAAUGAAUCCUUGGCCUUGCUCAGUGGGUUAGGGAUCUGGCAUUGCCAUGGGCUCUGGGGUAGGUUGCAGAUGCAGCUCAGAUCCCAUGUUGCUGUGGCUGUGGCAUAGGCCGGUGGCUAUAGCUCCAAUUGGACCCCUAGCCUGGGAACCUCCAUGUGCGGCAAAUGUGGCCCUAGAAAAGACCAAAAAAAAAAACCACCCUACCAUGAGACACCUCCGACUUUCUCUUGACUACAUGACCUCCAGAGUCCAGCUGCAGGAGAAAGAUAAACUAACCUUCCCCCGCUUUAGGGAAUCACUUUCCCAUCUGUCGGGUAUAAGAAGGCCCCACCAGAAGGGUGGGGGACUGGCUUUUUCCAAGGGUCAGUCACCCUCUCCUUUUCCUUCUAAAUUUUCUUCUCUUUGCCUGAACACCCAGCUUGUUUUCUUUUUUCCACAUUUGCCUUACAGCUAUAAAUACUAGGGUGUCUGUGGUAGGCAGCAUUCUAUGGUUGUUCCCCUAAAUCCCUAUCCUCGGGCUUACAUGCCUUGUAUAAUUUUCUCCUGGAGUACAGUCAGAAUCUGUGACUAUGAUGAGAUAUCAAUCUUAUGAUUGGCAAAGGUGAAGGGCUUUUACAAGUACAAUUAAAGUCCCUAAUCAGUUGGUUUUGAGUUAAUUAAAAGGGAAAUUACCAUGAGUGAGCCAGACCUAAUCAAGUGAAGCCUUGAGGCUAGCCUUGAAGAAGUAAGCUGCUUUGUUGUGGAAGGCCAAUGGAAGAAGCCAUUGAGGGAUGGAAAGCCACCUCUAGGAGCUGAAAGUGACCUCUGACCAAUAGCUUGGAAGAGAAUGGGAAUCUUAGUUAUACAGCUGUAAGAAUGAAUUCUACCAACGACCUGGGGGAGCUUGGAAAUAUAUUUUCUGACUUGAACCUCCAGCUGAGGAUGCAGCCAUCAAGACCUUUAUUUCAGCCAUGUGAGGCACUGAGCAAGGAAACAAACUAAAAUGUGCCAGAUCCCUGACCCACUGGAACUGUGAGAUAAUAAAUUAAUAUUGUGAUAAGCUGCUCAAUUUGUGGCAAUUUUUUAGGUGGCAAUAGAAAACUAAUACCGUGCCAAAGGCCACAGUGUGUGUGUGCAUGCACACUGUGUGACUUCAGAAAACAUGGUGGCUUUGAAACAUUGGCAGGCAUACUUUGCAGUUUCCCCACUAGAAUAAUCUCUCCAUAUUUACUUGCUAUUUUCCCAUAUGUCUUUUGUGCAGUUAUCCUUGACUUGAGUUUUAUGUCUAAAUUGCUCUUUUCCUGCUUAUUUUAUAUGCACACCUUCGAUAGUUAAAUUUAAUAAAUGUUUUUUGUUCGCAUCGUGAUGAUGAUGCAAAGAUCUACACAAAGGAUUUGCACGUUAAUGUCUUUGGUACUCAUAAGUGGAGUUCUAAAACCCUAAACACUUACAAACACUUUUCUGUUCUGAAUCCCAAGUUGCACUUACAAGCAGAAUAAGGAAGAGAAGAAAUUAGAGACCUGCUACAGUGAGAUUUAAAGUUCCUAGGGGAGAGGUAAACCUAACAGAAAACCGGCAGUGUGUGUGUGUAAUCACACAGACCAUUGAGAUGUGGGUGUUACUGUUUAGUUAGCCCCGGAAUUAUAUAGAGGCCUUAAGCAAUUUUGUUUUGGUGAUUUCAGAGCACAGAGUUGUCUAUAUCUGUAUCAUGGGAUGUGGUUUGAAUAAAAAUACACUGCAAGAGCGACUCGAAACUCUCCAUUGCAUGGCAGUGCAAGCACCAAAGUCUCCCAUUUCAUACAAAGACAGAUGGACAACAAGUGUCCUUCUGUUCUUUGUACAGAGCUCAAAAUGAAUGGGAUUUAUCAGGAGUUUACUCUAAUCCCUCUUCUUAAGGGCCUCUGGCUGUUAGUUUUGGCUGGCAAGAGAAGGGAACCAGAUGCUUAAAUGCCCAAAGGCAGAGUUCCUAGGUUAAAAAAAGUUUUUAAAUGAGUUCUUGUAUUUGCCUAUGGCCUUCUAAGCAUAAACAUUUCUAAUUGAUAUCAGUGGACUUGGAUUAUGAAUUAAUCUAAACAGUCAGCUCUUGCUUCUCCAAACAAAACCAGAAAGUGUCAACUAAAUCUUUAGUAAUAGGUGUAUCUGCGCUUGUUAUCCUGGAGAAUAAAGCCAGUAUCAAAAUUUCUAAAUAACACUGAUAAAAAUGUGUUCACGAAGUAGACUAUUUUCAUUUUUAAAUUCUUAUAAAAUGCACUCCCUCCUGGCAUAGACCAUCCUGCAUGAACAUACUUGCAAAGCCUCCAGCUGUUCCUCUUCAUUUUCCCCCCAUCAAUUCCAACUAUCAUCUUAAAAAGGCACAAUAGGAUUUUCCCAAAUAAUCACCAACACAUGAUGAAAUUACUUCUCCUGAUCUAAGAACUCCAGCAAAGAAUUUGUAGGAGAUUACGAUCUCAUUUUCAAAUAGUGCCCUAUUCAGAUGUAACUACAACCACCCUACAGUUAGAGAAAUAAUUUCUUGUUGCUACACUUCAGGAGGUCUCCUGUUAUCUUAACAACUGUCAUGAAAUUCUAAAAGAUAAAUUAAUUUACAUUUGCUCU
rnacentral:lncRNA from 1 species